rnacentral:rRNA from 1 species
UAACAAGGAUUCCCCUAGUAACUGCGAGUGAAGCGGGAUGAGCUCAAAUUUAAAAUCUGGCAGUUUCACUGUCCGAGUUGUAAUCUAGAGAAGCAUUUUCCGUGUUGGACCGUGUACAAGUCUCUUGGAAUAGAGCGUCAUAGAGGGUGAGAAUCCCGUCCAUGGCACGGACUACCAAUACUUUGUGAUAUGCUCUCAAAGAGUCGAGUUGUUUGGGAAUGCAGCUCAAAACGGGUGGUAAGUUCCAUCUAAAGCUAAAUAUUGGCGAGAGACCGAUAGCGAACAAGUACCGUGAGGGAAAGAUGAAAAGCACUUUGGAAAGAGAGUUAAACAGUACGUGAAAUUGUUGAAAGGGAAACACUUGAAGUCAGUCGCGUUGUCUGAGACUCAGCCUUGCUUUUGCAUGGUGUACUUCUUAGUUAACGGGUCAACAUCAAUUUUGGCCGGUGGAUAAAGGUUGAGGGAAUGUGGCAUCUUCGGAUGUGUUAUAGCCCUUCUCCGUAUACACUGUCUGGGAUUGAGGUCUGCAGCACGCCUUUAUGGCCGGGGUUCGCCCACGUACGUGCUUAGGAUGUUGGCAUAAUGGCUUUAAGUGACCCGUCUUGAAACACGGACCAAGGAGUCUAACAUGCUUGCGAGUAUUAGAGUGGAAAACUCUUAUGCGUAAUGAAAGUGAAAGUUGGGACCCAUCACUGGGGCACCGACGCCCGGCCCUGAUGUUUACUGACGGUGCUGCGGUAGAGCACGUAUGUUGGGACCCGAAAGAUGGUGAACUAUGCCUGAUAGGGUGAAGCCAGGGGAAACUCUGGUGGAGGCUCGUAGCGAUUCUGACGUGCAAAUCGAUCGUCAAAUUUGGG